GACGAACGCUGGCGGCGUGCUUAACACAUGCAAGUCGAACGGAAAGGCCCUGCUUUUGUGGGGUGCUCGAGUGGCGAACGGGUGAGUAACACGUGAGUAACCUGCCCUUGACUUUGGGAUAACUUCAGGAAACUGGGGCUAAUACCGGAUAGGAGCUCCUGCUGCAUGGUGGGGGUUGGAAAGUUUCGGCGGUUGGGGAUGGACUCGCGGCUUAUCAGCUUGUUGGUGGGGUAGUGGCUUACCAAGGCUUUGACGGGUAGCCGGCCUGAGAGGGUGACCGGCCACAUUGGGACUGAGAUACGGCCCAGACUCCUACGGGAGGCAGCAGUGGGGAAUAUUGCACAAUGGGCGGAAGCCUGAUGCAGCAACGCCGCGUGCGGGAUGACGGCCUUCGGGUGGUAAACUGCUUUCGCCUGUGACGAAGCGUGAGUGACGGUAAUGGGUAAAGAAGCACCGGCUAACUACGU
rnacentral:rRNA from 1 species